rnacentral:rRNA from 1 species
UACCAGCACCCCGAGUGGUCGGGACGUUUAUUGGGCCUAAAGCAUCCGUAGCCGGUUCUACAAGUCUUCCGUUAAAUCCACCUGCUUAACAGAUGGGCUGCGGAAGAUACUAUAGAGCUAGGAGGCGGGAGAGGCAAGCGGUACUUAGUGGGUAGGGGUAAAAUCCGUUGAUCCAUUGAAGACCACCAGUGGCGAAGGCGGCUUGCCAGAACGCACUCGACGGUGAGGGAUGAAAGCUGGGGGAGCAAACCGG